rnacentral:rRNA from 1 species
ACUCAAAUGAAUUGACGGGGAACCGCACAAGCAGUGGAUCAUGUGGUUUAAUAUGACGCUACGCGUAGAACCUUACCAAGGCUUGACAUCCUAGGAAUCUUGCAGAAAUGCGAGAGUGCCUUCGGGAGCCUAGUGACAGGUGCUGCAUGGCCGUCGUCAGCUCGUGUCGUGAGAUGUUGGGUUAAGUCCCGCAACGAGCGCAACCCUUAUCGUAUGUUGUAUUUUUCAUGCGAGACUGCCCGGGCCAACCGGGAGGAAGGCGGGGAUGACGUCAGGUCUGCAUGGCCCUUACGCCUUGGGCUACACACGUGAUACAAUGGCCAGUACAACGCGCAGCCAAGCCGCGAGGCGGAGCAAAUCGCAUCAAAACUGGUCUCAGUUCGGAUUGGAGGCUGCAACUCGCCUCCAUGAAGUCGGAAUUGCUAGUAACCGUGGGUCAGCACACCACGGUGAAUACGUUCCCGGUUCUUGCACACACCGCCCGU